rnacentral:rRNA from 1 species
UACGUAGGGGGCAAGCGUUGUCCGGAAUCAUUGGGCGUAAAGCGCGUGUAGGCGGCCAGAAAAGUCCGUUGUGAAAACUCGAGGCUCAACUUCGAGCUGUCGGUGGAAACUUUCUGGCUAGAGUCCGGAAGAGGAGAAUGGAAUUCCUGGUGUAGCGGUGAAAUGCGUAGAUAUCAAGAGGAACACCUGCGGCGAAGGCGGGUUGGUGGGCCGACACUGACGCUGAGGCGCGAAAGCCAGGGGAGCGAACGGG